rnacentral:rRNA from 1 species
UACGUAGGGUGCGAGCGUUGCCCGGAUUUAUUGGGCGUAAAGGGUGCGUAGGCGGCGCGUCAAGUCAGUUGUGAAAUCUUAAGGCUUAACCUUAAGCGGUCAACUGAUACUGUCGUGCUAGAGUGCAGAAGGGGCAAUCGGAAUUCUUGGUGUAGCGGUGAAAUGCGUAGAUAUCAAGAGGAACACCUGAGGUGAAGACGGGUUGCUGGGCUGACACUGACGCUGAGGCACGAAAGCUAGGGUAGCAAACGGG